rnacentral:rRNA from 1 species
AUAGAGACUCAGAGCUGCAUAUCAAUAAGCGGAGGAAAAGAAACUAACUAAGGAUUCCCUUAGUAACGGCGAGUGAAGCGGGAAGAGCUCAAAUUCGAAAUCUUCAAGGUUCUACCUUGACGAAUUGUAGUUUAAAGAAGUGUUUUCUGUUGGAGUUUUGGUAAAAGUUCUUUGGAAUAGGACAUCAUAGAGGGUGAGAAUCCCGUAUUUGACCAUUUCUUCCAGCUGUGUGAUACACUUUCAAAGAGUCGGAUUGUUUGGGAAUGCAGUCCAAAAUGGGUGGUAAAUUUCAUCUAAAGCUAAAUAUUGGCGAGAGACCGAUAGCGAACAAGUACCGUGAGGGAAAGAUGAAAAGAACUUUGAAAAGAGAGUUAAACAGUACGUGAAAUUGUCAAAAGGGAAGCGUUUGACACCAGUGUUGUUUUCUCGAAAAUCAAUUAAAAAUGACCGGAUUUUGUGUUGUAUUGACUUUAUCAGCUUUCUGCACUUUUUUCUCGUCUUUUUUAAUGCACUUUUCGUUUAACAAGUCAACAUCAAUUUCUUUUGUUGUAAAAGAGUCAUUGGAAGGUGGCUUUCACUUCGGUGAAAGUGUUUAUAGCCUUUGGCUUCUGCAAUCGGAGAGAUUGAGGUCUGCAGCGUAGAUCCUUCGGGGUUAGAUACAUUUGUGCUAAGUUAUAGUUUUUCAUAGACAACAUGUUGACUAUGAUUAAUCAUGUAGCUUACUCGCUUAUGCUAUUUUACCUACGCUUAGGAUGUUGAUAUGCAUGACUGAUAU